GAGGGUGAGAAGAACGCUGGAAAAUGGGACAGGCAGGGCAAAGCAUGGCAGGUAUUAGGUCAACACAGGAGAGGGGCAUUUUUGCCAGGCAAAUGGUUGGAACAAAGACUGGAGAUAGCCCCUACAAUCAGUCUGAAGAAGGGUGUCGGCCUGAAACAUCAGCUAUCCAUGUUCUCUGGAGAUGCUGCCAGUCCUGCUGAGUUACUCCAGCAUUUUGUCCGUUUGUGUAUUAACCAGGGUCUGCAGUUCUUUGCUUUUCCAGAUACUCUGCAUGAAGAAAUUUCUCUUCCGUAGAAAAGGGGACAAUGAUAUUAAAUAUGUGGCCAAUUAUUUUAAAUAUGUGACUUGACUGUAGUGCAGUGGCCAGAAUCUUGCACAACCCUCUAUUUUGAACCCCAAGGAGCGAUAUCUAUUAAUAUCUUUAAAUUGACCCAACUCCCUUACCUUAAAGGGGUGGCAGGGUGGCACUGCAGUGGCUACCUCGCGAUACUAGCGACCGGGUUUGAUCCUGAUCUUGGACGCUGUCUGUGAGGAGGUUUGCACGUUUUCUGUGGCUGUCUGAGUUUUCUUUAAAUGCCCCAGUUUCCUUCUGCAUCCCACAGACGAGAUGGUAGGUUGUCGAGGCACAGUAAACCACGCCUUAGUGGAGGGUUACUGUAAACUGAAUCAGCGUGGGGUUGUAAAAUGGAAACGCAAGAAACUGCAGACCCUGGAUUCUCGAACCUUAAACCAAAGUGCCGGAAGAACUCAGUAGUCUUCCAGCAUCUGUAGAGGGAAUGGACAGAUGACCCGCAACAUUGUAUACGCAUUUCCCUCCACAGAUGCUGACUGACCUACUGAGUUCUACCAGCAGUUUGUUUCCUAGCUCAAAGUGGAAUAAAUGGAAUUAAGCUAAUGAAAUUGUUUCCCUGGUAUCUGGAAUUAGCCAAUGAACCGAAUGGCUCCAGUCCUUACUGUUAUCAGAAUGAGAUCAUUUUUACUGUCCUCAUUUACAAGGUUCAAGAUAUAUUUUCUAAACUGCAGAAACUGUGCACUGCCACCUACUAAGUCUGGUCAGUCUACACCCUGGAUCCCUUUGUGUUUGCAUCCUCAUCAAAAUAAUACUUGUAGUGCCUACCCAUGUUUUCUUCCCAAUUGCGACAGUCCCCUUUGCCCGAUCCCUGCCCAUCGCACCUGUCUCUUCACAUUCUCCUGAUCUGCUACUAGCUGGUUCCGUGGUUACUAAGAUACCAAGUGUUAACCACACAAUUGCUCUCCCUAUAACCGAUCUGCCAAUUUAUUUCUAGCCGUUUGAUUGAAAUUAAAGUUGUUUUUGAAAUUAUUUAGCGUUACAAGGAAAUUUUCAGAAAUUUCGUGCAACUUUGUAUUUUCCCUAAAUUAUCUCGAUAAAAUUCCUGGAGUACCCUGUGCCAAAUGUAAAUGCAAUGGAAUUAUAAUGUUAUAAUAAACGGCAUAAAUAUCCAGCUGUUACAUACAGCUGAGAAUGGUGUAACUAAUUAACACAUAGCUCAUUGCCAGGAAUGACUCAUUGAGUGUAUUAGAGGCCAUAUGGCCUGUUUUACUCUUGUGUUUUUCUAUCUAAUUCUGUGUAAUUGUUCUUGUCCUCGUUCAUUCAUAUCGUUUCCACGUAAAAUUAAUCACCUUCCCCGCCCCAGCACGCACCCAUGGGAAUGCUGGCCGCAGUUUGAAUCAGUAGCAAGGAAGUGUGUGGCUACAGGCGGGAGGAAACUCUGGAGACAUUUUGGGGCCUCGGUGGAUGUUGAGGUUUGAACACUGGAGGAGUGCCAGAAACAAAGUGAGCAUUUCAAGAAUUGAGGUCUUGGAAACAGUUGAAUCUGAGUGAAAGAUUUCAGGCCAAACACCUUCGUUACAACUGGGAAAGAAAGAAAACCAGUUUGUUUUAAGUUGUAACCGGGUUGAAGGAGGUAUGGAAGGGAGAAAGCGAGGAUCUCUGAUAACAUUUAAUCAAUGAACCAGUUGGAUUUCUACACCCAUGCCAGUCUUUUCUAGUUCUCGUUGCAAGUUACUACUUGCCACAUUCAUUGACAUCAACUACGAGAUUUGGAAGCAGUGCUUCCUAGUUCAAUAAAAUAACUCUUCACAGAAGGUUGUCAAGACUGUGCCACCUAUAUGUUUUGGUGGGCACAGUGGCACAGCUGACAGAGCUGCUGCCUUACUGUACCGGAGGCUCAAUCAAUCAAUCAAUCAAUCAAUCGAUCAGUCUGAAGCAGGGUUUCGGCCCGAAACGUCGCCUAUUUCCUUCGCUCCAUAGAUGCUGCUGCACCCGCUGAGUUUCUCCAGCAUUUUUGUGUACCUUCAAUCAAUCAAUCAGUUUUAUUCGUCACUUGCACAUAAAGUGCAAGUGAAAUACAUCUGCAAGCAGCGGUACAAUGAAAAAGAACACACAAAAACACAAUUAAAAUGUAACACUAACAUCCACCACAGCAUACAGCACAAAAUUUUAUCCAGUCCUCCUCCAUUUCCCCCCGUGGUCGGGACCUCAUCCCUCCGCAGCCGCCGCUGCGGGCGUCCAGAUGAGUAGACAAGGUAAGUCCUGAAUCGGUUGGUGUAGGCCGCAGGCCGGCGGUCGAAGAACUAAAGUCCCCGCCGCGCUGCAGCCGGAAGCACCGUAUACUGCAGGGCCGGUGGUCGGAGCUCCCCUCCAGGGGUCCCCGGCGAGGGACCCCGCUCCGAUGGUAAGUUCCCGCCGCGCCCGUGGAAGAAGUUGGCCGCGGGCAGGCGGUCGGAGCUCUUCUCAUCCCGGGUCCCCAAUGAGGGAUCCCAGGCCCAGGAUGCCGCGCCGGCUGGAGCUCUGCAGACCGUGGCUUCAGUCUGCCGCGGGCCAGCGAACGGAGCGCUCCCCACCGGCAAGGGCUCGCCCGCUCCGCGACGAGAGUCCACGCCGCGCCCGCAGCUGAAGCCCCGGGCGUGUCUCCGGGAAAGGCCGCACUGAUCCUCGACGUUAGGCCACGGGGCAGGCGAAAUGGAAAAAGUCGCCUCUCCGUGGAGGAGGCGACCGAAGCGGUUUCCCCCCCUUAUCCCCCACACAAGACACACAGAGAAACAUUAAAAACACUCGUGUUUGAUCCUGACUUAGGGCACUGUGUGUUGAGUUUACAUGUCCUCCCUGUGACCGCACGGGUUUCCUCCGGGGGCUCCAGUUUCUUCCCACAUCCCAAAGGCGUGCAGGUUGGUGGGUUGAUUGGCUUCUGUAGAUUGUGCCCAAGUGUGCAGGGAGGGGAUGCGAAGGUUAGAUAACAUAAAAGUAAUGUGAAAGGGUGAUCGAUGGUCAGCGUGCACUCAGUGGGCUGAAGGGCCUGUUUCUGUGCUGUAUCUCCAAACCAAACCAAAUGCCCUCAAAGUCAAUACGAAUCUGUUGCAGAUCUGCUGUGAAGGUUUGUGGUGCGUAUUCUAAACGCACCUCCGCAAUGAACUGCCAUGUGUAUUAAUAUGCCACGGGAAUCAAUAUCACAGCAGCGAAAGGUCAUCUAUAUUAAUCUGCUGAAUGCAUUUUACAAUGAAUUGCCACACAAUUUAACGCACUGAUAUGUUGUCAUUACAUUGAAUCAUCACGCACUUGAGUUGGAUGAAGUCAUGGUUUAUAAUAAUAAUUAUAAUAAAAUUGCCUCAAUCA